rnacentral:rRNA from 1 species
GAUGAACGCUGGCGGCGUGCCUAAUACAUGCAAGUCGAGCGAACGGACGAGAAGCUUGCUUCUCUGAUGUUAGCGGCGGACGGGUGAGUAACACGUGGAUAACCUACCUAUAAGACUGGGAUAACUUCGGGAAACCGGAGCUAAUACCGGAUAAUAUUUUGAACCGCAUGGUUCAAAAGUGAAAGACGGUCUUGCUGUCACUUAUAGAUGGAUCCGCGCUGCAUUAGCUAGUUGGUAAGGUAACGGCUUACCAAGGCAACGAUGCAUAGCCGACCUGAGAGGGGGAUCGGCCCCCGGGAAGCUGAGCAACGCUCCGGACCCCUAGGGAGGGCAGAGGGGGGGAAUUUUCCGAAAGGGGGGAAAGCUGGAAGGAGAACCGCGGGGGGGGUGAAGAAGGUCUUCGGUUGGUAAAACCUUUUUUUUGGGGAAAAAAAAUGUUGUAGGAAACGUUGCCCUUCUUAAGGGAACCAAAAAAGAAGGCCCGGCCAAAUUCGGG